AACCUCAGACUUCAUCAGCGACUGGGGCGAACUGUUCUGAUAUCGCUGUGUUACCCCCCCUGACAUGACAAAUCCAGGUCCUGACAACAUUCCACUAGGAUUUCCCGGGUAUGAUGAUUAUACAGACUUUAUUCAAGGACCAUUCAGCAGAAAGAAGAGAUCUAUAAUGCAGUACUACAGUAACAUGUACGAUGCUCUGCUAGCUUUCAAGGUUGCAGGGUUAGAGGUUAUGACAGAUCUAGACCUUCAGACAAGGCCCUGUCAUCCAUA